GGAGAGAUGUCGGAGUGGUCUAUCGAGGCGGUCUUGAAAACCGCUAGGGCGCAAGUCCUCAGGGGUUCGAAUCCCCUUCUCUCCU
rnacentral:tRNA from 1 species